UUUUUUUAUUUUUUGUAGUAGGAGUGAGAGGUCUUGUUGAUCUCAGACGGUCUUCGGAUCCAGCGGACUCUGUGAUUGGUCAACGCGCCGCCCCUGGUCCUGGCAUGACGUCAGUGCGGGGAGCGAGAGUAGAGGAAGCGCGCAGGCUGAGGAGGAGAUGCAGAAGCUGGAGGAGCGAGGAUGAGGCAGGACUCACCUGAGAGGAGCCGCAGCAGCAGCAGCGGAGGAGGCGGCGGGGCUGAGACUCCACAAGGGCCCGGUGCCGGUGUGAAGGCGGAACGAACCAUCUGGAAAAUUCUUUACGAGCUGAAGUUGAGGACGUUUCCCUCCACGAGCCGCUUUGCUCCUGAAACAGGCCUCCGAUUAGCAGCGUUGAAUGAUCGGGGGGUGAUUCCUGAAAAGAGGGCAGAACCAUAAUUAAAAGAAAACGAGGAGAGAGAGAAAAAAAAAAAAACGGUCAGUCCGGAAUUGCCACCUCCUCCUCCUCCUCCUCCUCCCUCCCUCCCUCCCUCCCCCCCACUCAUCACCCUUUUUUACCCAAGAGCCUCUAAUGCCAUCUGCACUGCCAACGGGGGGACGCUUUCGCCCGUGCCAGGAAGGCGGACAAAGACCCCGCCGGAUCCUUGGGAGUAUGGGCGCGCUCGGAGGAGCCAUCUUGGGAGAUGUUGCUGCGACACCUAAAAUGGCUGGGCUGGCAUAUGAGGAUUGGACAAGAUCUGCAAAAAGACCCUUCUGCACUCUGCAAACGAUGGAUCAAACUCAACGACAGGCUGACGUCGCAGACGAGAACAUAACGAUCGUCAGAAACGCUGUUGAAGAAAUGUAAAAAUGUGGUAUCGUUGGUGUGAAAUGUAGAAGUGGAGCUGUGUCUGUUAUCCCAGAACAUGCUGGAUUAAAGAAGCCUUGAAUACAUGAUGUGCAUUUUCAUAGCUAAUAAAUGUUUUAAUUAAUCCAGUUAUUAACGAAUGUCUUCUCCUGCGUCUAAAUGUAUAUGGUAAUUCAUAGGAUGUAAAUGUACCACAGAUAAAGUGUGUGUGUGUGUGUGUGUGUGUGUGGUUUACUGCUGUUAAUGACACUGAAAUAUGUUGAAAUAAAGAUUAUU